ACACAAUUAACAUAAACAGAUGCUAGUUAAAUGUUUUAAGGAAUAAAUAUAUUGCCAUAACACAGGGGAAUAUAGAUUCAAUUUUGUGAAUGGUCGUCUAAUUGUGACGUAAUUAAUCAAUGUUCCGGAUGUCAUCAGAAGAAGACGUGCCCAUGCUCCGCCUCUGGACCACCGCGACGCGAACGCGUCAUCACGCACCAGCAGCGGCGGCGAACGGUUCACCAAUAACGAUCGGCAAAGCAAAGCAUCGAGGAAAGGACCGACAACUAUCGGGGCUUCACGAAAUGAUUUGAGGAUGCGAGAGAAACGCACGCACACGGUGUCGGGGGUCAUCUUGGCACGGAAUGGCAGGAAAGACUUUCCUUUGGGAUUAUGUAAGCACGAGCAGCGAGAUGUGAGGACGAGCACGACCCUCACUAAAGUGCAUCAGUGUCCCGGAAGCCUCGGUGUCUCCUCCCGUUCUCCGCGAGCGCUCUCUAUUUACACGCUGCCAGUGCGGCACAUUCAUAGGCGAGUAACGUUACUUCAUCAUAUGCAUAAAAAUAUUACCGUCAUUUAAUUUUUUUUAUCCGUAUGACACUAUAACACAUACUGUUUUCUUUUUAAAGAAUAAACUGAUUGUAUUACUAAAAAACUAGAAAUAAUUUAUAAGUGAUAACAUCUCAUCUAAUUUGUGUAUAUUUCAUAUUUCAUAAAUGCGAGCAUUUUUUUAAGUUCGGGAUCCGGAAUUAUGUUAAGCAAAGACUCGUAUGUAUAUGUUUGUAUACUUUGCCAGCAUCACAAUAUGUACUGUACUGUAUGUUGUGGUGUGUCAUGUCAUGUAGCGCGCGACAUCAUCGGGAAGUGUCACCCGCGUCCUUCACGAGCUGCGGCGUCGCUGCGCGCCCGCACGAGGCGCCGGUUUCACGGUUACAGUGCCCGCGCGCAAGGGCAACCGAACCAAAAGAGCUAAAAACUAGGAAAAUCUAUUUUUCUGCAAUAUUCGAGACCCUCUGGUAACAGUAAACCAUUAUUGGGCUUUUUAUGUUCAAGUGGUCUUAGACUAAGCUAAUCACUUCUGACAGAAAGUAUGGCAUAAAGUAAACUGUCAAAAAUGCAUAGUGCUUUAUUAAAAUUAAUGUCAGUAACAAGUCUCCGCAUGUUUACUUUAAUAAUUCGUGUGAAAGCCACUCUAAGCGAUUAAAUACAUUAGUGUAUAAUACGUUUCUUGUAACGCACCGACCGUUAGUCUGUUUCCAAGCCCGGUAAUGGCGUCUUUAUUCCGGCAGGAGUCACCACGCAGCUUCCGCUGGCACGAAUGCCUCAGCUAGCGAGCAAGCUACUGGCGAAUGUACGAGGAAUAUCGCUUACGCCGAUUAAAUUUGUGAAGUGAUGUCUUAAUAUAUACGUAUCAAUACCUCCUUGC